UUAAUAUUAAGUUUAUUAUUUUUAUUUUUAUUAAAAUUUUAAUUAAAAUAAUAUGCAUAUAUUAGUAUAGUUUAUAAAAAUUAUUUUAUUUAAUGAUAGUUUAUAGUACUGUAAAGGACUAUUUUAGAAUUUAUUAAAAGUAUGAUUAUAAAUUCAGUACCUUUUGUAUCAGGGUUUAUUAACUUUAAAAUAAUUAUUUUAUUUUUCCCGAAAUUAAAAGAGAUAAAAUUAAAUGUAAUUUUAUGUUAUAUAAUAAUUUAUUAUUUAAUUUUAGUGAUUAUAUGUUAUUCAAUUUUAAAUAUCUGGUUAUCUUAGAAUUAAAUUUAAUUUAGAAAUUUUAUUAGUUAAAUUAAAUUUUAAUUUAAUUUUAAUUUAAAAUUUUAAGAUUAUUAGGGAUUAGCUUAAUAAUAUUUAUAUAAUAUUUAAAUUAUUUAAUUAGUGUAGGUUUAGAAAUAUCCAUCUUUUAUUUUGUUAUAAUUAAUUUUAUUAAUUAUAUUUAUUUAAUAAAUAUUUAUAUUUAUAUUUGAUAAUAAAAUUUAACUUUAUUUUUUUAGAUUUAAUGAUAAAAUUAGUAGAUUAUUAAUUUAAAUUUAGGAACUCGGCAAAUAUUACUUUCGCCUGUUUAACAAAAACAUGUCUUAUAGAAUUUAAUUUUAAGUCUGACCUGCUCAAUGAUUUAUUAAAUUGCUAUAGUAUUCUAACUAUACAAAGGUAGCAUAAUAAUUUGUCUUUUAAUUGGAGGCUUGUAUGAAUGGUUGGACGAGAAGUAAUCUUUCUUAAUUUAAAUUAAAUUGAAUUUAAUAUUUUUGUAAAAAAGCUUAAAUGUAGUUGUGGGACGAGAAGACCCUUUAGAAUUUUAAUUAAAUUAGUAAUUUUUUAUUUUAGUUAUAAUUUUGUAAUAUUUUAUUAAUUUAAUUUUUGUUGGGGUGACAGUAAAAAUUUUUUAACUUUUAUUAUUAAAUUAUUCAUAAAUUAAUGUAUUUUUGAUCCUUUAUAUUAAGAUUAUAAGAUUAAAUUACCUUAGGGAUAACAGCGUAAUUACUUUGGAGAGUUCUUAUCGAUAAAGUAGUUUGCGACCUCGAUGUUGGAUUAAAGUUAGAUUUAUAGUGCAGCUGCUUAAUUUCUAGGUCUGUUCGACCUUUAAACCUUUACAUGAUCUGAGUUCAGACCGGCGUGAGCCAGGUUGGUUUCUAUCUACAAUAUUUUAUAGUAAUAUAGUACGAAAGGACCUUUUACUAUUAAUAAUUAAUAAAUGUUGAUUAUUAUUA
rnacentral:rRNA from 1 species